UAUGGCCAUAUCACAUUGAAACACUAGUUCCCAUAUGAUCACCGAAGUUAAGCUACGUUGAGCUUGGUCAGUACCUGGAUGGAUUAUGGCUUAGCAAUACCAGGUGCUGUAAG